AUGAGUGUGUUUCAGAUGAAAUCUAAGCCUCCUGUGGAGGAAGGAAAAAAUCACCUGACAGCUGUAGACUGUUCCUUUCCUGCAGAAAUACAGCAAUUUCCUCAAAUGCAAGUGGAACAAGCAUCCUUGAGCUUUUCUGAAGCUUAUAUUUAAUUUCAGUACAUUUCAGUGCAUUUAAUUUGGUGAUUGCUCUUGUAUAGUUAGAGAAUCAAUGAAGCCUCAUUAUAGGUUGGUUGGGUGUCUAGCUGGUUGUUCCUAUGUUUUUCUGAUCCCAGUGAAGGAAGCCUGUUGGAAUUUGGAUCAAACAGUGGCCAAAGUGCAGAUUUCUUGAGCUUGAAUCCAAGUGGUGACUUUAAGAGCAUUCACUGUGUUGGUGUGGAUCAGAGCUUAUUGUAAGAACCUCAGAUAUAAAGAAGUUUUGGUUUUUUAGCAGGUUACAUUCUGUUCCUGUACUAGCUGUAUUAUUGCUUUUUUGUAUAUCUCAAGGUGUUUACAUAUACUUGUAAUUGUUAUAAUGUGUCUGUAAUCAAGCUCAUCUGUGCCUUCAUGCAGACUUCCAAUAAACACUUGAUUUUUUUGUAUUUACUUGUAUGG
rnacentral:lncRNA from 1 species